GAGAUGAGCUUUGUAGUGGCCUAAAGGGACUGAUUUUACUCAUGACUUGAGCACUUGGAGUGUACUCCGGGGGGUCACAGUCAUAGGUUGCUUUUUGUUGUGUAAUAAACACCAUGACCAAAAGCAACCUGGGGAAGAAAAACAAAGAGUUAUUUGCUUUACUGGUAACAGUUCUUCAUCCAGGUCAGGCAGCACAGGAACCUGAAGCAGGAACUGAAGCAGAGAACAUGGAGGAACUGACUGUUCAUUCCUCCCAGUCCUGAGAGAGGGAACAGCAGUUAAGAACAAAGCUUUCUAGACAAGACUGCAUCACCUGAGGUUUACACCUACUUCUUCCUGGCUAAGUGGCUUCUGGCAGCUUGUCUCAUCUCCAGCUCAUCUCUAAAAUGGCAACAGCAAGUCCUGAGACUAGAGAUAUGAAAUGUAUGAAUCAGUCUUGUACAUUCCCCGAUGUAAGCAACAUCCUUAUUAUUAAGAAGUGGUAUACACAUACUCUCUUAAGAGUCCAGGUUCAUAGUGACCAUAUUCAUUAUUUACUCAAAGACUCCCCCCUCCCCCAAGACAGUUUCCUGUCACCUACAUUGGUCUCAAACUAUGUAGCUAAGGAUAACCUUGAACUUGUGGUCCUUUUUGUCUACCUUCUCAGUUGUGGGACUACAGGCAUGUGCCACUCCACUUGGCUUAUAUGAGGUGCUGGGCAUGGAACAAAGGGAGUCAACUGAGCAAGCACUCUACCAACUGAGCCAGAUCUCUUUAAGUACUGGGCCAGUGGUUGGAGAUCCUUGAGCCAGUUUAUGUAAGAAAUAACCAAUAGUGGUGGAAACAGAGUUUGAAUCCCAUUUAAUCAGAGACCUCUCCACAGCCAUUCUGCCAUAAUCCAACCUCAUCCUGCAAGACUUAAGAAAACAAAAACGAAACACCGAAUAAUGUCUAGCCUUCACAAAAUCUACUAAAUAGUCUGUGGACAAACUGAGCAGAUGGCUCAAUGGGCAGAGUGAGCACAAGGACCUGAUUCAAAUCCACAGCACCCACAUAAAAUACUGGCCACAGCUGUGUGAUUGUAACUCCAUCACUGGGAAGCAAAGACAGCCAGAUCCUGAGAGUUUAGAGACAGACAGUCUAGCUGAAAAUAGCAAUUUUUAGUUCAGCAUGAAGAUCAAAGCAAUAACAGUGACAUUCUGCUCUGACUUCUUCAUGGAACAUGCAUUAUUUUGUUCAGGUACAGGCAAAAUACACACACACGCACACACACACACACACACAUUCAGGUGACUGAAAUACAUAGAUAUUUGCUAAAUAAUAGGUUUGGUAGGGUCCAAAGAGAAGAAAGGCUUUGCUUACCUAACCCUAAAAUCAUACACUUAGCACCCAAAAGGGUACUGAAAUUCAUUAUGUUUUAAGAAAGCAAACAAGUUUUAUCAUCGAGUUAAUUAUAGUUCUAUAAUUUUCAGAUAUUACUUAAUUUUAUAUUAUUUUACAUGUAUGUUUUUUGACACUGCAUACAUAUCUAUAUAUCAUGUGUAUGGCAGAGGUCCUCGGAGGCCAGAAGAGGAUGUUGGAUCCCCUGGAAUUGGAGUUACAGUUGUGAGCCUCUAUGUGGAUGGCGAAUGAAACUGUAUUCUCUGGAAGAGCAGCCAGUGCUUUUUUUUUUUUUCAAUCUUUAUUAAUUUGAGUAUUUCUUAUUUACAUUUUGAUUGUUAUUCCCUUUCCCGGUUUCCAGGCCAACAUCCCCCUAGCCCCUCCCCACUCCCCUUCUAUAUGGGUGUUCCCCUCCCCAUCCUCCCCCAUUACCGCCCUCCCCCCAACAAUCAUGUUCACUGGGGUUCAGUCUUAGCAGGACCCAGGGCCAAAGCAACUCUAUGUAAACAUUUAAUUGGGACUGGACUAUAGGUUUGGAGGUGUAGUCAUUGUCAUCAUAGCAGGACGCAUAGCAGCGCCCAGAUAGGCAUGGUGCUGGAGGAGCUGAGAGUUCUACAUCUUGUUCUGAAGGCAAACAGAAGAAGACUGCCUUCCAAGGAGCUAGGAGGAGGGUCUCAAAGCCCACUGCACAAUGACACACUUCUUCCAACUAAGCCAAUAGUGCCACUUCCUGUGUCAAGCAUAUUCAGACCACCACACAGGCUAUGUGCAUGCUAUCACAGUCUCUGAGAGUUCAUAUGGACAUCAGUUCUUGUGUUUGGAAGGCCUUGUUUUGUUGGUGUCCUCCAUGUCUUAUAAUCUUUCCACCU